rfam:Candidatus Nomurabacteria bacterium RIFCSPLOWO2_12_FTLL_44_11 rifcsplowo2_12_scaffold_6793, whole genome shotgun sequence.
GCGGCCAUAGUUUAGUGGUUAAACACGAUCUUGCCAAGAUUGAGUCGGGGGUCCGAUUCCCCCUGGCCGCA